GUGAAUCAUCGAAUCUUUGAACGCACCUUGCGCUCCUUGGUAUUCCGAGGAGCAUGCCUGUUUGAGUGUCAUUAAAUUCUCAAUCUCUACAACUUUGUGUUGUCUAGAUCGGAAGUGGGGGUUUAUUGUGUGGAAUCUAAUUCCUCACUCCCCUUAAAUGCAUUAGCUGGAAUGCCUCUGCAUAUCUGACUAUCAGUGUGAUAAUUAUCUAUACUGUAGUUGUUGCAUGAGGGUAUCUGCUUCAUAAAUCGUCGCAAGACAAUUCUAUAUGACCAUCUUGACCUCAAAUCAGGUAGGACU
rnacentral:misc_RNA from 1 species